UGUGCGCAAGGGAUAGCAGCGAAAAGCCCACAGUCUCGUCUUUUAGGACGAGGCGAGGACUUGUAGCGAAUAGCCCGACCAAGC
rnacentral:misc_RNA from 1 species